rnacentral:rRNA from 1 species
CCGUCGCUACUACCGAUUGAAUGAUUUAGUGAGGUCUUCGGACCGACACGCGAUGGCUUCACGGCCGUCGGCGUUGUUGGGAAGUUGACCAAACUUGAUCAUUUAGAGGAAGUAAAAGUCGUAACAAGGUUUCCGUAGGGGAACCUGCGGAAG